rnacentral:rRNA from 1 species
UACGUAGGGUGCAAGCGUUGUCCGGAAUUAUUGGGCGUAAAGAGCUUGUAGGCGGUUUGUCGCGUCUGCUGUGAAAUUUCGGGGCUCAACCCCGAACUUGCAGUGGGUACGGGCAGACUAGAGUGUGGUAGGGGAGACGUGAAUUCCUGGUGUAGCGGUGAAAUGCGCAGAUAUCAGGAGGAACACCGAUGGCGAAGGCAGGUCUCUGGGCCAUAACUGACGCUGAGAAGCGAAAGCAUGGGGAGCGAACAGG